rnacentral:rRNA from 1 species
UACAGAGGUCCCAAGCGUUGCUCGGAAUCACUGGGCGUAAAGGGUGCGUAGGCGGGUCUUUAAGUCAGGGGUGAAAUCCUGGAGCUCAACUCCAGAACGGCCUUCGAUACUGAGGAUCUUGAGUUCGGGAGAGGUGAGUGGAACUGCGAGUGUAGAGGUGAAAUUCGUAGAUAUUCGCAAGAACACCAGUGGCGAAGGCGGCUCACUGGCCCGAUACUGACGCUGAGGCACGAAAGCGUGGGGAGCAAACAGG